rnacentral:pre_miRNA from 1 species
AUAUGAUGACAAUGAUGAUGAUGACGACGACAACGAUGAUGGAUGUGAUGAUGAUGAUAAUCAUCAUCUUCAUUGUCGUCAUCAUCAACAACAACA